CCUACGGGGGGCAGCAGUGAGGAAUAUUGGUCAAUGGGCGAGAGCCUGAACCAGCCAAGUCGCGUGAAGGAUGACUGUCUUAUGGAUUGUAAACUUCUUUUAUACGGGAAUAACAAGAGUCACGAGUGACUCCCUGCAUGUACCGUAUGAAUAAGCAUCGGCUAACUCCGUGCCAGCAGCCGCGGUAAUACGGAGGAUGCGAGCGUUAUCCGGAUUUAUUGGGUUUAAAGGGUGCGUAGGCGGCCUGUUAAGUCAGCGGUGAAAUCUAGGAGCUUAACUCCUAAAUUGCCAUUGAUACUGGCGGGCUUGAGUGUAGAUGAGGUAGGCGGAAUGCGUGGUGUAGCGGUGGAAUGCAUAGAUAUCACGCAGAACUCCGAUUGCGAAGGCAGCUUACUAAGGUACAACUGACGCUGAAGCACGAAAGCGUGGGUAUCAAACAGGAUUAGAUACCCGAGUAGUC
rnacentral:rRNA from 1 species